rnacentral:lncRNA from 1 species
AUCAAUAUCGAAUUUUAUUACUAAAAAAUGUCUAUAGUGUUGGGCUCGUGCUGAUAUGGGCCAUGCACCUCUAGUCAAAUAUAAAGCAUGACAAAUAAAAGAAAUACAUGUCAAAAAGAAAAACAAAUCAAAUCAAAUACAAUAUAGAGAGAAAAAAUAAAAGAAAGAGAACAAGGAAAGAGAGAGAAAUUAUAAGUGGGGCCACAAGCUCCACAUGUUAAUUUAUAAAGGGCCUCAUACAAGUAUUACAUGGCGUAUGAGGCCCAUAAUAAAUUUUUCCCCAUUUCCCCCACCUCCCACCAGUUCCCCACCCCUUUCCUUCAUCCCCACCAGUUCCCCACUCUUUUCCCCCGUCCCCCCACUAGCCAUUCCCUCCGCCCCCACCCUCACCCAGCAUACACACAUACACACACAUGCAAAACCCAAAAAAACAAAAGAUUUCACACACA